UAGUGGUGAUAGCGGAGAGGAAACACCCGUUCCCAUCCCGAACACGGAAGUUAAGCUCUCCAGCGCCGAUGGUAGUUGGGGCCAGCGCCCCUGCAAGAGUAGGUCGCUGCUAGGCU
rnacentral:rRNA from 1 species